rnacentral:tRNA from 1 species
GGGAUUGUAGUUCAAUCGGUCAGAGCACCGCCCCCUGUCAAGGCGGAAGCUGCGGGUUCGAGCCCCGUCAGUCCCG